rnacentral:rRNA from 1 species
GACGAACGCUGGCGGCGUGCUUAACACAUGCAAGUCGAACGGAAAGGCCCUGCUUGCAGGGUGCUCGAGUGGCGAACGGGUGAGUAACACGUGGGUGAUCUGCCCCUUACUUUGGGAUAAGCCUGGGAAACUGGGUCUAAUACUGGAUAGGACCAUGCUGUAGGUGGUGUGGUGGAAAGAUUAGUUUCGGUAAGGGAUGAGCUCGCGGCCUAUCAGCUUGUUGGUGGGGUAAUGGCCUACCAAGGCGUCGACGGGUAGCCGGCCUGAGAGGGUGGACGGCGACAUUGGGACUGAGAUACGGCCCAGACUCCUACGGGAGGCAGCAGUGGGGAAUAUUGCACAAUGGGCGCAAGCCUGAUGCAGCGACGCCGCGUGGGGGAUGACGGCCUUCGGGUUGUAAACUCCUUGCAGCCAUGACGAAGCCCUUGUGGUGACGGUAGUGGUAGAAGAAGCACCGGCUAACUACGUG